UACGUAGGUGGCAAGCGUUGUCCGGAAUUAUUGGGCGUAAAGCGCGCGCAGGCGGUCCUUUAAGUCUGAUGUGAAAGCCCACGGCUCGACCGUGGAGGGUCAUCGCAAACUGGAGGACUUGAGUGCAGAAGAGGAAAGUGGAAUUCCAUGUGUAGCGGUGAAAUGCGUAGAGAUGUGGAGGAACACCAGUGGCGAAGGCGACUUUCUGGUCUGUAGCUGCCGCUGAGGCGCGAAAGCGUGGGGAGCAAACAGA
rnacentral:misc_RNA from 1 species